rnacentral:rRNA from 1 species
GAUUCUGGCUCAGGAUGAACGUUAGCUACAGGCUUAACACAUGCAAGUCGAGGGGCAGCAUUGGGAUAGCUUGCUAUUCAGAUGGCGACCGGCGCACGGGUGAGUAACGCGUAUCCAACCUUCCUGCCAGUAGGGAACAGCCCGGCGAAAGUCGGAUUAAUGCCCUAUGUUCUUCAAUGCGGACAUCUAAGUUGAAGGAAAGAUUCAUCGCCGGCAGAUGGGGAUGCGUCCGAUUAGCUUGCCGGCGGGGUAACGGCCCACCGGGGCGACGAUCGGUAGGGGUUCUGAGAGGAAGGUCCCCCACACUGGUACUGAGACACGGACCAGACUCCUACGGGAGGCAGCAGUGAGGAAUAUUGGUCAAUGGACGAGAGUCUGAACCAGCCAAGUAGCGUGCCAGGAUGACGGCCCUAUGGGUUGUAAACUGCUUUUAUAUAGGGAUAAAGUCACCCACGUGUGGGUGUUUGUAGGUACUAUAUGAAUAAGGACCGGCUAAUUCCGUGCCAGCCGCAGC